GCGUCAUUUUAUUUAUAUAGAUUUUUCAGAAAGUUCCUAAAAAACAAAAAUACAAAAAGGCAAUCUCUUUAUUUAUUAUUAAAUUCUAUUCGAUUUUUGAAACGACAUAGCUAGUAAAAGAACUUUGAGUAUUUAUUCGAGUGCCGUCGGGCGCCACUUAAUUGAAACCCUGCUCUCGGGGGAAAAAAGAAGUACGCGGAACUUGAGGACAUCCUGAAUGGCGUUCUCUGGCUUUCAAAGAACGGAGUGCGGCACUCCAGCUUCGACUCUCAUGUGUUUAUGUGUGCGAUUCACACCUGCGGACUCCGGCAGCCACAGCUUCAGCUUUUCCCUCAGAGGAACACCGGAAUCCCGGGCAGAACUAACUGGAGCGGAGGCCAGGAGUGCCACUCGUCAGAUAAUCGCAGAAACGGCCCAAGAAGAGCAUCCUCAAGAAAAUGAUAUAUAAAAUGCCUGAGUCCCCACCCCGAUUUCCCCCGAUUUUCCAGGGGGGUUUGGGAGGCAAGUCCAAGUCGACCUCAGCUGAAUGUUCCUUUGAAACAUGAUCCAAUCGAUGGACACUUUGUUGGCCAUCCUGGGUUGGCUCCUCCUCGUCUUUAGCCCCCGAUUCGGCGCCCAAGUCCCCCAGUCCGUCCCCCUUUUUCAGCCAUCUGUGUUGUGAUGAAAGCACCAGGAUCCGGAGCCGAGUGCGGCGGAGGCUCGUAAAAUGUUUUGUCGUUUGUAAUCUAUUUACACAAAAGGAUGCUCCCGACCCAGACUCGCAGUUCCUCUCAUAUCAUCUCAUCCCGGCGCGCUGUGUUGUGUUAUGUUUUUCAAGAGCAGCCGAACAAGGACAUGCAGAUGGUCAGGGGACCGACGGUGGAGCACUAUCAACAGCAGGCCCUGGAUGCAGGACGCAGGACGCAGGACACAGGAUGCUGGAUCCCGGGCGCUACUGCUGGAUGGAUUGCCAUGGUGAGGCGACAUUUCAUGACAAAUCCUUUGUGCAUGCAUUCCAGACACUGGCACGGGCAAAGGAUGAGGGCGAGGGACCAGGACCAGAUCCUGAAAUGCACUGAACAUAAUGUAUACCAAGCAGAGCUAAUUUUAUUUUAUUUACUGUU